UGCAGUCGAACGGUAACAGGAAGCAGCUUGCUGCUUUGCUGACGAGUGGCGGACGGGUGAGUAAUGUCUGGGAAACUGCCUGAUGGAGGGGGAUAACUACUGGAAACGGUAGCUAAUACCGCAUAACGUCGCAAGACCAAAGAGGGGGACCUUCGGGCCUCUUGCCAUCGGAUGUGCCCAGAUGGGAUUAGCUAGUAGGUGGGGUAACGGCUCACCUAGGCGACGAUCCCUAGCUGGUCUGAGAGGAUGACCAGCCACACUGGAACUGAGACACGGUCCAGACUCCUACGGGAGGCAGCAGUGGGGAAUAUUGCACAAUGGGCGCAAGCCUGAUGCAGCCAUGCCGCGUGUAUGAAGAAGGCCUUCGGGUUGUAAAGUACUUUCAGCGGGGAGGAAGGCGAUGAGGUUAAUAACCUCAUCGAUUGACGUUACCCGCAGAAGAAGCACCGGCUAACUCCGUGCCAGCAGCCGCGGUAAUACGGAGGGUGCAAGCGUUAAUCGGAAUUACUGGGCGUAAAGCGCACGCAGGCGGUCUGUCAAGUCGGAUGUGAAAUCCCCGGGCUCAACCUGGGAACUGCAUUCGAAACUGGCAGGCUAGAGUCUUGUAGAGGGGGGUAGAAUUCCAGGUGUAGCGGUGAAAUGCGUAGAGAUCUGGAGGAAUACCGGUGGCGAAAGGCGG
rnacentral:rRNA from 1 species